CAAGAGCGUAUGUAAAAGUUGUUGCAGUUAAAAAGCUCGUAGUUGAACCUUGGGUUUGGUUGGCCGGUCCGCUUUUUUGCGAGUACUGGAUUCAACCGAGCCUUUCCUUCUGGCUAACCAGUCGUUUCGGCGGCUGGCGAACCAGGAUUUUUACUUUGAGAAAAUUAGAGUGUUCAAAGCAGGCAUUAGCUUGAAUAUAUUAGCAUGGAAUAAUAGAAUAGGACGUUAUGGUUCUAUUUUGUUGGUUUCUAGGACCAUCGUAAUGAUUAAUAGGGACGGUCGGGGGCAUCAGUAUUCAGUUGUCAGAGGUGAAAUUCUUGGAUUUACUGAAGACUAACUACUGCGAAAGCACUUGCCAAGGACGUUUUCAUUAA
rnacentral:rRNA from 1 species